GUUUACUGCUCCUGACAGCAUUGUAUAUUAUUUAUAUUGCAUGAACACCCUGUGACUAUUUUAAAUAGACAGGUGAUUCCAUGAAGGGGGAACGAAGUUGGAAGGAGUUAGAUGGCAUGCAGUUCAGUACGUAUGAUCGUGAUAAUGACCAGUAUGGCGGGAUCUGUACUGCGCGUGUUAGAUCUGGAUGGUGGCAUAACUCAUGUACUGACGCCAACCUGAAUGGUCAAUACUACCAAGGAGUAAAUCACACUAAUCCAUCUGAUCCUAUCUACUGGUGGACAUGGCAUCCUGAUUUUACUCCACUGAAGGCCGUUAUUAUGAAAAUAAAGCCACGAUGAGACAGACAUAACUGUUCCUACAGUUUGUUAACUCAGAAGAUAGUUUUAACAAUAUACUGUCAAACUAUGCUAUCUAUAGUUCAUGCUUAAAUAGAUCUUUAUUUUUGUCAUUAUUUUCUUCACUCAUUGAUUUUCAUAGUCAUAAAUGAAUUAUUAAGGUUUACGGGCAAAUACUUUUACUAAAGUUAUCGUGAAAAAAAAUAGCAAACGAAAAACAUUAUAUUUGUGUUUCUUAGACUACUAAACCAUUUUAUACUAUAUUUGUUUAUAUAUGUUGAUGACCUGUAAAACAGCUAGUAUAUAUUAAGAAUGUUUCGACUCAUCACAUAUAACUUGAUAAAAGUGAAUGCGUGUAUAUACUGAGGUUGAUGCCUAAUGAUAUUAAAGGGAUCGAAUUUAA